rnacentral:misc_RNA from 1 species
GAUGAAGAACGUAGCGAAAUGCGAUAAGUAAUGUGAAUUGCAGAAUUCAGUGAAUCAUCGAAUCUUUGAACGCACCUUGCGCCCUUUGGCUAUUCUGAAGGGCAUGCCUGUUUGAGUAUCAUGAACACCUCAACUCUCAUGGUUCGCCAUGAUGAGCUUGGACUUUGGGGGUCUUGCUGGCCUACGGUCGGCUCCUCUCAAAUGAAUCAGCUUGCCAGUGUUUGGUAGAGUCGCAGGUGUGAUAACUAUCUACGCUUGUGGUUUUCUGCCAGAUAACCUUCAGUGAUGGAGGUUCGCUGGAGCUUAUAAAUGUCUCUCCCCAGUGAGGACAGCUUUUUGAACGUUUGAUCUCAAAUCAGGUAGGACUACCCGCUGAACUUAAGCAUAUCAAUAGCGGAGGA